rnacentral:rRNA from 1 species
AGUGAACGCUGGCGGUAGGCCUAACACAUGCAAGUCGAACGGCAGCACAGUAAGAGCUUGCUCUUACGGGUGGCGAGUGGCGGACGGGUGAGGAAUACAUCGGAAUCUACUUUUUCGUGGGGGAUAACGUAGGGAAACUUACGCUAAUACCGCAUACGACCUACGGGUGAAAGCAGGGGAUCUUCGGACCUUGCGCGAUUGAAUGAGCCGAUGUCGGAUUAGCUAGUUGGCGGGGUAAAGGCCCACCAAGGCGACGAUCCGUAGCUGGUCUGAGAGGAUGAUACCGCCACUGGGAAGUGGACACGCGGACCAGCUCCCGAGGGGCGGCGCCGGGGGGAAUUGUUGGAAAUGGGCGGGAACCUUGCACAACCAGACCGGGGGGGGUGAAGAGGGCCUUGGGUUUGAAAGCCGUUUUUGUGGGAAAAAAAAAGCAGCAGUUUAACCCCCCCUUGUUCGACCGUACCCAAAAAAAAAGCCCCGGCCAACUUCGUG